UACGAAGGGGGCUAGCGUUGUUCGGAAUUACUGGGCGUAAAGGGCGCGUAGGCGGCGUGUCAAGUCAGGCGUGAAAGCCCUGGGCUCAACCUGGGAAUGGCGGUGGAUACUGAGAGGCUGGAGUACGGUAGAGGAAGGUGGAAUUCCCGGUGUAGCGGUGAAAUGCGUAGAGAUCGGGAGGAACAUCAGUGGCGAAGGCGGCCUUCUGGACCAGUACUGACGCUGAGGCACGAAAGCGUGGGGAGCAAACAGG
rnacentral:rRNA from 1 species